AGCCUCCCAAAGUGCUGGUAUUACAGGAAUGAGCCACCGUGCCCGGGCUUAUGACAUCUUUUAUAUAUAUCCUUCUAGUCUUUUUCACCAUGUGUCUGACUGCUAUGUUACCUCUCUAAGCCCCAUGUGCUAGACUGAAAUAUGGGGAUUAUAAAACCUACUUAUUAAGGAAAGUUUUGCUGGGCACCAUGGCUCACACCUAUGAAUUCCAGAGACUCAGAAGGUUGAGGCAGAAGGAUCACUUAAGGCCAGGAGUUGGAGACCAAGCUGGGCAACAUAACUAGGCCCUAUCUCUAAAGAAAUAAGUAAAGAAAUAGGCAAGCCAGGCAUGGUGGCACGUACUUGUGGUCCCAGCUACCCGCAAGGCUGUGGUAGAAGGAUCACUUGAGCCCAGGAGUUUGAGGCUGCAAGUGAGCCAUAAUGCUGCCACUGCACUCUGGCCUGAGUGACAGAGCAAGACCCUGAUUCAAAAAAGAAAAACAUGACAGUUUUGUAGAUGAAACUGUCCUGGGACGUAGAGGGUUGUCACCCCUCAUCUACAGUGCCAAAGAAGAGGCAUGAGGGUUCUCGCCAAGGAUGAGAUAAGAGCAUUGUGUGAGAAAUGGAAACAAUUUUCUCUUCUCUCUGCAGAAUGAGGGAGAUUGGAAAAAUGGCAGUUUAACCCAGAAUUCACUUAGUUACCGCCUUCUUAAAUAAUUGUAUUCCCAUCCCUGUUGUGCCUACUGGAUCAUGGUUAAAGCAAAAGCCCUAAGUACAAACUUGUGGAGCUAUGACAAUUUAAAAGCUUCAGCUAUGUAAAAAUGUAAGAGGAUUUCUUUUCUUUUUUUUUGAGACAGAGUUUUGCUCUUGUUGCCCAGGAGAAUCGCUUGAACCCAGAAGGCAGAGGUUGCAGUGAGCCAAGAUUGUGCCACUGCACUCCAGCCUGGCAACAGAAUGAAACUGUCUCAAGCGAAACAAACACACUGAGUACCCAUUAUAUGCCAGGCACUAUCCCAGAUACAAGCACUAUACUAUUUCAUUUAAUUCUCACAACUAACCUUUAAAGUAGGUAUUAUUCUUUUUUUUUUUUUGAGACAGCGUUUUGGUCUUGUUGCCCAGGCGAUUCUCCUGCCUCAGUCUCCCAAGUAGCUGGGAUUACAGGUGUGUGCCAUCAUAUCCAGCUAAUUUUUUGAUUUUUAGUAGAGAGGGGUUUUCAUCAUGUUGGCCAGGCUGGUCUCAACUUCCUGACUUCAGGUGAUCCACUUGCCUCUGCCUCCC
rnacentral:lncRNA from 1 species